UGGGGAAUCUUGCGCAAUGCGGCAAAGCCUGACGCAGCGACGCCGCGUGAGGGAAGAAGGCCUUCGGGUUGUAAACCUCUUUCGAGAGGGACGAAGCCGCUCGGGUUAAUAGCCCAGAGGGUGACGGUACCUCCGCAAGAAGCCCCGGCUAAAUACGUG
rnacentral:rRNA from 1 species